UAGCGUAUAUUAAAGUUGUUGCAGUUAGAACGCUCGUAGUCGGAUUUCGGGGCGGGCCGACCGGUCUGCCGAUGGGUACGCACUGGUCGGCGCGUCCUUCCUUCCGGAGACCGUGCCUACUCUUAACUGAGCGGGGGCGGGAGACGGAACGUUUACUUUGAAAAAAUCAGAGUGUUUCAAGCAGGCAGCUCGCUCUUGCAUGGAUUAGCAUGGGAUAAUGAAAUAGGACUUUGGUGCUAUUUUGUUGGUUUCGAACACCGAAGUAAUGAUGAGAAGGGACAGUCAGGGGCACUCGUAUUCCACCGAGAGAGGUGAAAUUCUCAGACCAGUGGAAGACGAACCACUGCGAAAGCAUCUG
rnacentral:rRNA from 1 species